AUAAAGUCGUAACAAGUUUCCGUAGUUGACCUGCGGAAGGAUCAUUG
rnacentral:rRNA from 1 species